GAUGAAGAACGUAGCGAAAUGCGAUAGGUAAUGUGAAUUGCAGAAUUCAGUGAAUCAUCGAAUCUUUGAACGCACAUUGCGCCCUUUGGUAUUCCUUAGGGCAUGCCUGUUCGAGCGUCACUACACACCUUAUCGCAAUAUUUGUGGUCUUGGCAGGAGUGAAUUGCUGGUCUAUGGAAGUAUUCCAGCAGUACACAAUGCUAAAAAAUAUGGGAAGGUUACCAGAUAUGAACAACAGACUUUGUAAAUGGUUGUAGGACCUAGAUCAGUCACAAGUCAUGUCUAGUCCCUUACCUUAAGGACCCCCAUCCUAGAUGAACUAUGGGUUGACCUCGGAUCAGGUAGGAAUACCCGCUGAACUUAAGCAUAUCAAUAAGCGGAGGA
rnacentral:misc_RNA from 1 species